rnacentral:tRNA from 1 species
AUGCAAGCCAACGAGCAAUGGCCUUCUAAGCCAUAGGUCGGGGGUUCGAGUCCCUCAGGGCAGGCCA